rnacentral:lncRNA from 1 species
AUUGCUUAAAGUGCAAAGCUCACUGCUGUUGGGGGUACCCUUGUGAGACACUGGAAAGCUGGUUUUACCGUGGCCCUAUGAAGAGGAAGACUGAAAUUUAGACAGUAAUACCUUUACUAGGAUUGGAAAAGAUUUGGUUAAUGACAGCCCUGUCAUUUCUAAAACCCAUUAUCACUGUAUGAGAGAUUCCUUUGCGCUGCAUCCUCGACAGUGCUUCCUAAGGCUCUGCCGACUUCCAGUUCUGGAACAAGAUGGUUAAACUCAUUUUUCCCUGCUCUGCUCCUCUAAAUACAACUAAGUACCUUGGAAACUAUUCAGCAGACAAUGAUAAAGGGCUCUGAAAGCUAGAAGAAAAGGUGUACUUGCAAGAAACCUCAGGACUUGAGUAACAGCAACAUGUCUUGGACGAGCCUGAGGAUGUCUACAAGUGGAAGAAAAGAAGCCACUGGAGCAGAAGGUGGGGAGGAUAAAAUUUGGAGCAAGAUUCUCAAGGAAGCAACAAGAUCCUAAGGUUCUUCUGAGCUAUGAAGGGGCCCAGAUUUAAGGGCUAUUUUUGACACCCUAAAUGUGCUGAGACAAGUCAUUAAGGUGGUCCUGCCAGGACACAGCCAUCUAAAGCAGCAAUCUGCUUCUUGCCAGAAAAUCUCGUGCCUCUGCAGAGCCUUUUCCAGAAUGAACCACACCAUGCUGAGGAAAGGAGAAAGAGACUACCUACUGCAUUUCUGUCACUCGCUGAAAAGGACACUCUGUCAGAAAAUCUUCUAGCAAACUUCAAAGGGCAAAAUCACCCCUUGUUACUGAUAAAGCCCAGAGAGCUUCAGCAGCUAACAUUCCCUGGACAGGGCACAGCAAGGAUUUGAACCUAGGUCAGUCUGGCCAGAACACCCACAAGCUUUCCUUAACUCAGUGUGCUAUCUCCCCACGACUAGGUCACUACUGCUUUAUAAUCACCUUUGUAGCCACCAGUGGAUUUUGCUCAUCAGUAUUUUUCAGGCAAUUGAUACUUUAGAUAUUCAGCUGCAAGACGUAUGCAGUUUUCAUUGACAUCUUUUGGAGAAACUGACAAACCUGGACUUGACUUAAUGCCUUUGGAACCUUCCAAGAUGUUAUAUAACUCUAGAUAGAAGGCUGGGCCUCCAUGAUGUCAGGAAUGUUGCAUUCUUAUUUCCCCAUAGAUAAACCCAUUUGUCCACAAAGUCAAGGAGUCAGGCAGAGGCCCUUGCCAUGGGGCUUUUUAGGAUAAAGCAACAAGCCUGGACUUUGCUCUACAACAGGGUUUUGCAUAGGGAGUGGUAUGACCAGAUCCCUCAAGAAAGAAAGCUUAGAGACCAGGCCAGAGUCCACUGCAGUAGCCCAGUCAAGAGAGGAUGGUGACUUGGACUUGUAGUAGAGCCAGUUAGAAUGAAAGAAAUUGACACAUUCAGAAAUGGUUUUAGAGAUAGAGUCAAACUGGACCUGAUAAAGAACUAGAGAAGCGGAGUGAGGAUAAAGAGAAGAGCCAUGACUGACUCGGAAGAUUUUGUCUUGAAAAACUUGAGAACUCAAGACAGAGUGAAAUAAAAUCACAUGUGGGAAAAAUCUCCUGCUUUGUUUUGGACUACUUUGAAGUGAAAUGCCUGUUAAGCCUAAGUGGGGUAGGUCAUGGCGUACAUGACUGUGGGCUCAGGAUGGAUACAGGCAUUCAGGAGUUGUGAGCAAAUAGAACUUAAAGCCAUGAGAGAAGAAGGGAUCACCAAGAGAGACAGUGUGGCAUAGAGAAGAAAAGGGGUGGAAGACGAUCCCUGGGCAGAAAAGUCCUUAGAGCAGAGGCAACAGGCAUGACCAAGAAGACUAAGAAAGAACAUUCAGUACAGCAGGAGGAGAGCAAAAAAUGUGUGGUAUUCUAGAAGCAAAGAGAAUAAAGGGCUUCAGGAAGGAGCAGUCAAGUGUGUCAAAUAAGAUAAAGACAGACAAGUCCCCUGGAUUGGGUAGGAAUAAAAUAACAACAGACUGCCAUACAAAUGGUUCUAUCUACACCAUCUAAAAGAAUAUAGUUUAUUCUCCAUACAUUUAAGAAACACCUGCCAUAUGCCAGGUAUCCUUUCAAGCACUGAAAUGCAGAUUCAUAAAACAUGGUCUCUGCUCUCAAGGAGCUCACAGUGGUAAGGAGGAAACAGGCAAUAGCGAGUGUUCUCAUUGCAUUCGUGACCCCAUUGAUCUUGCAACAGCCCCAUGCAUCAGUUAUUGCCAUUAUACCAUUUUACCGAUAAGGAAACUGUGGCAGGGAGGGGUCAAGCACCUUGGGUAUUUGACAGCAAAACCAAGGCUUGGUGGUAUCAUAAAACUUCCAAGUAGUAAUUCACAAAGGUGACUGGGAAAUGGAAGUGACCAGAAAUCUUUGCACUAUGAGGACAAGUUCAUGACCCUGAUACAUUCUUGUCCAGGUAGUAUAGCUCCAGACCAAAUGUCUGCGGCCACCCACCCAAAAACUUGUUGGAUAAAAAUGACUACACCUAUAGUCAAAUGAUUUUUGACAAAGGUGCCAAACAGUUAGAUAGGAAAAAGAAAGUUAUUUUCAAUAAAUGUUGCUGGAGCAACCAGAUAUCCAUAUGGAAAAAAAAUCUUGACCACCUACCUCACACCAAACACUAAUAUUAACUUGAGAUGGAUCAUAAACCUAAGUCUGAAAACUAAUAGUAAAGUUCUUGAGAAGAGAACAUGGGAGAAUGUCUUCAUGAUGUUCAGGUAGGCAAAGAUAUUUUAAGACACAAAAAAGCAAUAAGCAUAAAAUUUGUAAAGAGGUGACUGGGGCUUUAUCAAAAUUAAAAUUUAUGUGUAUUAAAAGACAUCAUGAAUAAAGGGAAAAGGGCAGCCACAGACUGGGAGAAACUCUUUACUAUACAUAUACCUAACUGAGGCUCAUAUCCAGAUUAUAUGAAGAACUCCUUCAUACUGAUACCUAGGGUCUUGAUUGCAUGCCCCGAAAUCAGUUGAUUCUUCCCUUUUGAAAUGCAUUCCCACAAGGAUCCAGCCUUUGGGAAGCCAUGCAAGUAGAGGCAGAAGUUGUUUCAGCUUCGGAAAGGGCCACUCUGCUGAGGAGUGUCCUUGACCGGCAGAGAGAAGAUGUUCCUGCAGCCAUGCUGAUUCCAGGGGGAUAUAGAAUUUGGGGCCUGGGAAUGUUUAAAAAUGAAAGCCAGUUAAUAGUUUUAUUUUUCUUUUAACAUGACAGACAGGAGAACAACCAGCAGGACUCCAGGCUUACCCUGACAUUUUUGUCAAGUAUAUGCGGGUUCUCCAGAGAGCCAGAAUCAAAAGAUGUGUGUAUAUACAGCCAUGUGUUGCAUAACAACAAAGAUACAUUCUGUGAAAUGUGUCCUUAGGCAAUUUCAUCGUUGUGCAAACAUCAUAGGGUGUAUUUGCACACACCUAGAUGGCAUAGCCUACCACACACCUGGACUAUGUGGUAUAGCUUGUCACUCCUAGGCUUUGUACAGCAUGCUACUAUACUGAAUACUGUAGGCAAUUAUAACACAAUGGUAGGUAUAUAUGUCUAUGUAGACAUAUCUAACAUAGAAAAGGUACAGUAACAAUACAGUAUAAAAAGUGAAAAUUGCACACUUAUAUAGGGCACUUCCAAUCAAUGGAGCUUGUAGAACUGGAAGUUGCUCUGGGCGAGUCCGUGAGCAACUAAGACAUUACACUGUGCG